UACAUGGGGUGCAAACGUUUGCUCGGAAUUACUGGGCGUAAAGCGCACGUAGGCGGCGAUCUAAGUCAGAGGUGAAAGCCCGGGGCUCAACCCCGGAAUAGCCUUUGAGACUGGAUUGCUAGAAUCUUGGAGAGGCGGGUGGAAUUCCGAGUGUAGAGGUGAAAUUCGUAGAUAUUCGGAAGAACACCAGUGGCGAAGGCGGCCCGCUGGACAAGUAUUGACGCUGAGGUGCGAAAGCGUGGGGAGCAAACAGG
rnacentral:rRNA from 1 species